rnacentral:rRNA from 1 species
UACGUAGGGGCCAAGCGUUGUCCGGAUUUAUUGGGCGUAAAGAGCGUGUAGGCGGCCAGGUAGGUCCGCUGUGAAAGUCCGAGGCUCAACCUCGGAAUGUCGGCGGAAACCCUUUGGCUAGAGUCCGGAAGAGGAGAGUGGAAUUCCCGGUGUAGCGGUGAAAUGCGCAGAUAUCGGGAAGAACACCCGUGGCGAAGGCGGCUCUCUGGAACGGUACUGACGCGAGACGCGAAAGCGUGGGGAGCGAACAGG